GAUGAACGCUGGCGGCGUGCCUAAUACAUGCAAGUCGAGCGAACGGGCGAUAAUCUUGCUUCGCUGAUGUUAGCCGCGGACGGGUGAGUAACGCGUGGAAAACGUACCUAUAAGACGGGUAUAACUUCGGAACACGGGAGCUAAUACCUGAUAAUCUUUUGAACCGCAGGGUUCAAAGGUAAAUGACGGUCGUUCUGUCACUUAUAGAGGGUUCCGCGCUGCAUUAGCUAGUUGGUAUGUUAACGGCUUACCAAGGGAACGAUGCAUAGCCGACCUGAGAGGGUGAUCGGCCACCCUGGAAGGGAGACACGGACCAGACUCCUACGGGAGGGCGCAGUAGGGAAUGUGCCGCAAUGGGGGAGAGCAUGACGGAGCAACGGCGAGUGAGUGAUGGCGGUGCUCGGAUCGGAAAACUCUGUUACUAGUGAAGAACAUAUGUCUACGUAACUGUGGCGAUCGUGACGGUACCUAAUCAGAAAGCAACGGCUAACUACGUG
rnacentral:rRNA from 1 species